UUAAUAUUUAUAAUAUAUAAAGUUAAUUAAUAACUUCAUGUUUCAAGUCAAUCUAAAGAUAAAAUUCAUUCCACAAGUAUUUUAGACGACUUAUGUACACCCAAAAAAGCUCUCUAGGCCAAAUCUCGUGGUAAAGAUCAAUUAAUCUCUUGCCCCACGGGUCACGAAAAGAAUUUGCUAAAAUAGCUAAUGCUUCCCAAUCCGAUAUUUCUUCAUAGUUAUCCAGUUCUACAUGUUUCAUCUUAAACAUAUGUAUAAAACUAGCAACACUAAUGUUAGGUGACAUCUUAAAAGACUUGAACUCUUUCAAUUUCUUUUCUCUUUCUUUUCGUAUAGUCCUUUCAUUCCGCAACAGAUUUUGUAUCCCCCUUGAGACACCAUUUCAUAAUAUCUCAUGACCUCAAAAACAUGUCCUUCGACGACAUGCUCUUCUACCUUAUCUCUUUGCUCGAAAUCCAAAACUCCCACUUGGAGUGAUUCGAGUUUGUCUCCUUUCAGCCAUUUCUGAAAUAUGAACCAAGAAACAAUAAGAAUGGAUUUACGACUCAAUGUGAUACUUAUGUCACAAUUCACCGUAGAAGACAAAAUCUAUUUAAAAUUAUCAUAAACUAAUUAAGGCAAAAAAAAUUAUCAAACCUAAUUCAACUACUUAUCUAUUUAAAAUUAUAAAAGGAUUCACUAUGCCACCUUUAUAGAAUAUUUUCAUGUUAAUUACCAAAAAAAUAUGUAAAUUACUACAUCUUUAUUUUUAUUCUGUUAAGUGCCAUCACAACACUUACUUUACAAUUAAAAAAAAAAAGAUAACAUAUUAUGCAAUUCAUAGAUACAGUUGCUCCACUAGAACAUAUAAGAGAUUCUUUUCCCAAGAAUUAUUAAGGAAACAAUUCCUAUUCUGUUCUUUCCUAUUAUUUAUUCAAUAAAGCAUUCAAUCCCUAAAGAUUAAGUUAAAAAAAAAUUACAGAAUCUUAUCAAAAGGAAAAUAAAAAAGGAUGACAGUUUUUUUUACAAAUAACUCUUCUUCUUCUAAAAAACAAAUGCCACUAGGUUCAUCUUUUUUUUUUUUUAAUCAGACACAGUUCCAUAACAGAUCCAAAAAAAAAUUAUCGAAUCCAUAAAUACAAUUUUGAGCGUCAUGUAGGAUCCAAAAAAAAUUCUAUAAUGGCGUUUCAAGUCAGAUCCAUAAAUUCAUACAACCAGUCAUGAAGAAUAUCAUACGUAAAUUUUUCUUAAACUUGAAAAAUAACGUGUAUAAACGGGGCAUUAAACCUGUCUCUGAUGCCAUUGUGAGCAAAUUCGGAGCAAAAAACAUAAAUCUGUAUGUACCUUGAACUGUUGCAGCGGAAGUGCUGAAUUUGCUACUGAAACAAUUGUUGGGUUCGAAAUCGAGAGGGCGUCAUGCAGAAACUUAAAGUUUGCAAACCUUGAGAAAAUAAAUCAGACGACAACAACAACAAUAACAACAACAAACCCAGUGUAUUCCCACCUAGUGGGGUCUGGGGGGUAAGAUGUACGCAGUCCAUACCUCUACCUCUGAAGAAGUAGAAAGGCUAUUUUCGAUAGACCCCGGCUCAAGGCACGAGAUACCACACAAACACAUAGUAAAGCACAGAAGCAGAUUACAUAACAUAAAUACGGCACCCAUAAGUAAUAUAAAACAGAGGAAAGCAGAGGAAAGCACACAGAUUCGUAAUAAAACAUGGAACACGGAACACGGAAUCAUAACAGGAAUAAAACCCCCACCAAGUAAUGCCCUACACUAGCGACCCAAACUGGCCCUAAUCCUCUGCCGUAAUUCGCGUCUUCCAGACCUUCCUAUCUAGGGUCAUGUCCUCGGUGAGCUGUAACUGUUCCAUGUCCCGCCUAAUCACCUCACCCCAGUACUUCUUCGGCCUACCCCUACCCCGCCUAAAACCAUCCAACGCUAGCCUCUCACACCUACGGACCGGGGCAUCCAUGCCCCUCCUCUUCACGUGUCCGAACCAUCUCAAUCGUGCUUCCCGCAUCUUACACUCCACUGAAGUCACACCAACCUUCUCCCGGAUAGUCUCAUUCCGAACUCUAUCCCCUCGAGUCAGUCCACACAUCCAGCGCAACAUCCGCAUUUCUGCCACCUUCAUUCUUUGGAUGUGGGAGUUCUUAACUGGCCAACACUCCGCUCCAUACAGCAAGGCCGGACGGACUACCACCCUAUAGAAUUUGCCUUUAAGCUUGGGCGGCACCUUCUUAUCACACAGCACCCCCGACGCGAGCUUCCACUUCAUCCAUCCCGCCCCAAUACGGUGCGAGACAUCCUCGUCAAUCUCACCGUUACUCUGGAUAACGGUUCAGACGACAAAUAAAAAUAUAAUACUAAAAAAUAUUAUUGAUAGGGUGGUCAAAUUACCUACAUAUUGAAAACUAAUAUUGAAAAACUUAAAAUCUAUUGGGAGAAAUCUCCCCCUAAACCAGACUCUUUUAAUGAUUACAUUGUAGAUGCUAUUGUGUUAUGGUAUAAGAAGGGGUCUUCUAUUUAUAGAUGUACAAAACCUUUCCUCCAAGAAAGAGGUUUGCCAAAUAUGGAAAAGAAUUAUAUUUUCUUUUUAGGAAAAAUAAAAGUAAUUAUGGUUACUUUUAUUUUCCUUCUAAGAAAAAGUAAAAACUUAAUUUGAUAAGAAAAUCAGGACAAAAAUUCUAACAACAAUCUCCCCAAGUCAGUCUUCGUCUCUAUAGGAAAUGGAGUAUAGAUUCACAAACUAAAAGUCUCCUUUUGGAUUUUGUUGAUUUGUUGAUGUUCUUAGCCGCUGUAAUAUUUUUGUUUUUUCUCAUACGUCUCUUCUGUUUUCAGAGGAAGAAAACCCUUAUGCACAGGAGUAUUUGAGUGGAUAAAUAGUUAGGUAGUAACUGUUCCCCCUAUAUGUCAAAAUUCAAAUUACUCCCUUAUCUUCAAAUAAACAGAUAAUUAAAAAACAAAAAAGACUGGGUCGGUCCACAUGAGUGACCCAUGACUAUAAUCUAAUAGGAUGGUUAUAAGCUAGAAUUAGGACGUGUCACUAAACCUUGGAAUUUGGAUAUUGACGUGUUUUCACCCUAUGUAUGAUGACCCACUAUAAUACGAUUUUGUAUUAUUCUAUAUGUUUGGAAUUUGGAUAUUGACGUAUUUUCACCCUAUGUAUAGUGACCCACUAUAGUACUGUAAUGCCCCGAAUCUGGUACCCAAAAUGUUACACGGUACUCAUGACCCCAAAGGGCCAUAAACUAAUCCAUGACUGAUAUCUGUACCUGACUACUGCAUAAUAUACCAUAUAGGUGCGGAAACAUGAACUGAGAGGCCAUAAGGUUUAAAAUUGCAUCAUAACUAAUAAAAUAUAGCAUCUGAAUGGGGUAUUAAAAUCCCCAAAACUGAGAUAACUGUCUGAACAAUCCUGUAGUCUGAAAAGCCUUUAACUGUCUGAAUAAGGAGUUGAUGGGAAUUUUCCCCAACUAAUUCCAACUACUGAAAUCAACUAAGUAAUGAGAUAAUAAAGUAAUGAUCUUGUCCUCGAAGGAUGAGGACUCACUGCAAACUCUGAAUGCGAAAAACUGGAAUGCUACUACUGAUCUGGAGCUCGUGCUUCUGAACCUAUGGUAUAAAGUAAAACACCAUUGCGCGAAUGCGUCAGUACGAUUGAAUGUACUGGUAUGCAAGUGGGGGUAGGCUGAAUGCAAUAGGGUUCAAAUGCAUGAACUAUACUAACUGACCGUAUGACAUGAAUAUGAGAAUACAUGCAUGAACAUGAAACUGUAAAUGAAUUCAUGAUGAUACUGACUACUGAGUCUGAAUACUGAUAACAUGAGUUACUGAUACUGAUAUAACUGAUACCGAGCGACUAUGUAUGACAGUCUAAGUUUUGAUGAAACUAACUGAGUUUCAUACCGUACUGAGUUGACUAUAUCUGACAGUACUGAAAUCUGAAGAACUAUCUGAGUUCUUUUACUAAAACUGAGUAACUGUAUCUGAUAGUCCUGAUUAUGUAAUUAAAACUGUAGAGGAAUUCAUCCAACUGACAUAUCCCAAAUAAAUGAUUAUAGUUGAGUAGGGGUCCAAUCUGUAACCCCAAUUGAAAGGGUGUCAAUACCGCGCCACUAGUAAGGACAGGCUGUGAGUGAUCCCUCAUCUAGUAAGUACUCAAACGAGAAUGGUGAGACUCUUAUAUAACAGGAUAAGCCACCUCAUCUACCUUCAUAUAGCAGGUAUGAUGUCUCAACCUACACUGGCUACAUAGUUCUGGAGCACAAGGAUUGCUUCUAGGAAUCACACCCUCAAAUAACAGGUGAUUUUCCAUCCUUGGGCUCACUCGGUGCUGAAUCCCACUCCCAUCUAUAUAGAAACUAAACAUGAUUGACCGAACUAAACUGGAUUGAGUUCAUAAAGUUUUGUUGACUGACAAAAUACUACUGAGAUUACUGAGCUUUCUGAGAUUUCUGGGAUUUACUGAGUUUACUGAGUUUUUCCUGAGUCACAUGACUGACUGAGUUCUAUGGAUCAUGGCUUGACUGAGAGUAUCGUGAAAAUAUGAUACUGGAUCUAGACACACAAGUAUAUUUUUCGGGUACAAGUACCCCAGGACUCGAUAGAAGAAAACUGAUCAGGCAUGACAUUCUUGAAUACAUGACCAACAUCAACAAUCCAUAAUACAAUAAGUUGGGGAUUUCAUGAAGUACAUAAUUACCAUAGUCUUGUACAUGAAUAGAAAUACAUAUCAACAUAUCAUAAUUUCAUCAAUUAGUCCCGUAAGUAUUCCUUCAAAUAUCCAUAAUGCAAAAAAUACCAUAGAAGCCAUUUCAAUCAUAAGGGUAAAGCAUGCAUUUGUCAUUGUUGACAUCCAAUUUUGGCUCGCCCUUUUUCCUUUAAUUACUUUUCUGAUGCUUCUUGACCCUAAAUAAUUUUUGAAAAAUUAAAUAGGAAAUAAGAUUCGUAUUUUUAUCUCUAUUUCUACAAAUUUUUAAAUAAUAAAAGAGAAUCUAUUUUUUCUACCUUAUUAUAAAAUAUUUUAGUUAAAUUUAAUUAAAUAUUUUAACAUCAAAAUCACAAAAUAUCUUUUGAUACUUGCAUUCGCAAUUUUCUAAUUUUAUUUUUAGGCGAUAUUGUGCCCAUAUAUAUAUAUGUAUUGUCAGAUAAAACAAAUAUUUUAUAUUUUAUUUUUAUAUUGUUAUUUUUUAAUCACAUAUACAUAUAUUGAUAAUAUUAAAUCGCAGAAAGAUAUUAAAUUAGACGGUUAUAUAAAUUAUGUCUGUAAUUUAUACACGUUAAACUAAAACUAAUUUUAGGAUAUCAGAAAACAUCGAUAAAAUUAAUUUCAGUAGAAAAAAGAGCAUUCGGAUCAACAAUAAUCCAAUUUCAUUUUUUAUUCACCCGAACCCAACUCUUAUUUUAUAAAUUUCAACCAAAAGAUCUAAAUUGGGCCUAAGCCCAAUCCAAUAUCCAUACCCGCUUCACAUUUUAUCCAACUAACACCAAUCAAUCUAGAUUGUCAAUUUAUUUUGACCAAAAGAUCCAGAAUUUUCAACCUUAUGAUUUAUUUAUUUAUUAUUAUCUGAUCGAUUAAAUAACCGGACGGAUAAAAAUCAGUUUUAUUCAACUUUUACAUUUAUCCUUAUAUGUAUACCCUUUUUUUUAUAUAAUAGUUGUUUUUUAUAGGCCGUCCGAUCUCAAGAAUACAACAAAAUAUCCCUCUGUCUCUCUCUGAGGAUUAAUUAGGCGGUGCUAUAACUCUGUGCCCCAAAAAGCUGACGGGUCACAAUAUACACUACUCAAAAUGCAAAAACAACCAAGAACCCACGUUCUCUUCCUCCUUCACCCCCCUUUCUGCCACAUCAAAUCCGCAAACCUAAACCCCCUACCAUAGCUGCCACCCACAAGAUUCCCUUCCCUUAUCGGCUAUUCCAACUCAUGAAUCCUUUCAAGAACAAAAAAUCAGCCCCAAAUACAUGUAUGGAGAUGAAUCGUCCUUUUCAAUUUUUUGAAUUUAAUUUCAUCAUCUCUAUCCAACCGUUGGUUUUCAUGAGAUAUUGGUUUCAAAUCCGGAUUUGCACCUAUAAAUAGAAGAUUGCCUAGAGGUGAAAAGAGGGAGGACAAGUUGGAGAAAAACAAGUUGAACACUCAAAAUUAGGGAACACUUGCGCAAAGUCACAAAAUCACAAGUUCCUUUCUUCCUUUUUGUUUAAGUUCGGGCUCCCAAAGUUUGAAAUCCUUGACAUUGGAGCUCCGAUUUGCUGCCCAACAAAAGGUAAAAUCUGCCUUUUUAUCUCACUUUUCAUCUCCUUCUCCAUCGGCUAAUGUUGUUGUUGUGAUUUUGGACCCUGUUUGUUAAUCAACUUUUGAUGCUAAGAUGGUUUUGGGUGUAUAAUCUAUUUUUAAUAAAAGUUUGGUCAUGAUGCCGUUGUUGGUUCCCCAGAAAUUGAUUUCAAAUGUGAUUUCAUCUCUUUGACAUAAAAUUUCUUUCUUUCAAGAGAGGACAACCUUGAAUUCAAGUGCAAGAUAAUGUGAAAUUUUGUCCAUUUAACCUUAUAAACUUUAUCCAUUUAUGUACUGUGUUCUUCAUAUGUUAUGAUUGCAUUAUGCAAAAUAAUUCCACUUGACAGGCUAAAUCAUGAAGUACCAAAACUAAUAGUUUGUACCAUUGCUACUGUUUUUUUUUUUUUAAUGAGUUGUAUGAAGUGAGAUUUUCAAUAUAAUAGUAGCUAUAAUGGCUGUCCAGAUAUGUAUCAAAGUGAUAGUAGCUUCGGACGAUUUUUAAUUUUUCUUGUUUGGUGUAUGUAUGCUUCUGUUAUUUAUAUUUUCAUGUAGAUUUAUGGUUUGAUAAGUUCCUAAUUCUUAUUUCCUUCUGUUUCUUUAUUUUACAUGUGAAUUCGGGAAUUGGAGUUUCAAUUGGAGCUCCAUUUCGAUCCCAAUUAUCGGGUCAGCUAUAGGAUGAUUGCAGAGUCUCGGAGUCGUGAAAAAAAAAUUAAAGAUCAAACUCCAUUAGGAGUCUAGUAUCUCUCAGCCCUUUUCUUUUUAUUUUCAUUAUUCUUGUUAUGUUGUUAGUCUUUUGGAACUUGGAUCGAUAAUUAAUUAUUAUUAUUAUUAUUACCGUAUUUAAGUUAUAUCGUUCAUUUAUCGUACUUAUAUCGCUUUAAAGGCUGAAAAUUUCUUUAAAACAGAUUAAUAUCCUCUUGUUUUUGCAAUUAACAUAUUAUGACUUACUCGUAAAGAUGGAUUUUGCUUUAAAAGGGGUUUCGGCGGUUUUAAUAUUCAAUUAACUCCCUUUUACUAAUUAUUUGCCAGGAAAAUAUUUUUUUUAAUAAAAUAAAUGUCACAAUCCUUUAGGACGGAUGAGAAUUUUAACACUAUUGUAGGAUGACAAUAAAAUAGCUAAGUUCAUAUUUUUGAAAAAAGGAAAGAAACCUAUUCAUCAAUUUCGGCUCAAUCGUCUAACGUUUUACUGUCACUAAUUUUUAAAAUCUCAAAUUUUGAAGCCCUCCAAAACACAACAAGGUCGUCUAACGUUUUACUGUCACUAAUUUUUAAAAUCUCAAAUUUUGAAGCCCUCCAAAACACAACAAGGUAUAUACAUGUACUUACGCAGCCGCACGCAAGGUAUACUCUUGAAUUAUUAUUAUUAUUUUUCUUUCGAUAUUAUUACUAAAUUAUCAUUAUUAUUUCUAUUAUCAUUACUUUACCCUAACUACUAUCGAUAUUAUUACUAAAUUAUCAUUAUUAUUUCUAUUAUCAUUACUUUACUGUAACUAAUAGUGAUAUUAUUAUUACUAUGCUCCAUAUGUUGUUAAAGCUUCAUCAUAUACUACUACAUUUAUUUUUAUCUAUUAAAGCCUCACAGGUCAAACGAGUUUUCAUAUCUUUUCCAUAUAUUUCUAAAUAGGUACAUAUAUUUAUGAUCAUUUUAAAUAAAUUUUUUUUACACCAUUUAAAAGUAUAUUUUCCUUCACUUUAUUCUCACAUUUAGCACCAUAUAUUUAUAAACAUACUUUCUUACAUAACCAUGAACUCAAUGCUCUUAUAUAUAAAAAUACUACUUAUCUUUUGUACAUAUAUUUGAAAACAUAUAUAUUUUUCAAUAACUGUAUUAUGCCCUUGUAAAUUGCAGUGAUACAUUCAUAUACCUUGAGCUUAUUUUCUCAAAAUAAUAAAGGACUUUCUAUCACUAUUUUAGCAAAUAAAUGAAGCAAUAUCUUCUUAAACUAAGCGUAAGGACUAUCUUCGGAUAAACUUUAAGGGGUGUUUAAUACUUUCCCCUCGAGUAACCAAAAUCCUUACUCAGAAUCUCAAAAUAUUUUCGAUAGACUAAAACAGAGUUUUCUACAUAAAAAAUGGUUUUCCUAAUUUUUCUAAAAAGUUAGGUGGCGACUCUAAGCGACUCUAAAAAAUAAAUUUUCAAAAUUCAAGAGUCACGACACGUGUCACCAUACACUGUGUGCUGUUUCGACUAGUUUGAAAUAGGGCGCGACAGUCAUUUGGAUCACAAUUUAGCUAUAAGGCAUAAUUUCUAUCCCUUUAGGCAUUUUAUCAAACACCUUUCAUGCACAACUUAAGGCAUAGGUGGAAUCAUCAAAUUACACAUCAUAAACAACUCAAUUCAUGGAUUUCAACUUACAUACUAACGUAAUUUCAUGAAAAACACAUAAAGAUUCCAACUUGGAAAUCAUAUAACAAGAUAAACAUGGUUACAAACAACCCACAAUAUACGCAUCAUGAUUUAUAAUUUAAAAUAGGAUUUUUGAGCUUUAUGGAUGAAAGGAAUCCCAUAAAUCAACACUACGCAUACCUUAGAUGGAAGAUUUUUGAAGAUUAAUAGAGAAAUUUGUUUGAACUUGAAUCCUCAAUUGAAAACCCUAAUGUGUUCUUGAGAGGAUUUUGAGAAAAUUGAG
rnacentral:lncRNA from 1 species